GUUUCUUUUGGACCACUAUCUCAUCUGACAAUCACCCGAGGAUACCUGCCAGAGCUCGCAAUUUACGACGAGUUAGCUUAUGGCACCUCUGGCUGUUAAGUGAAGUCAUAAAGCUCAAACAGCUCUCAUCUCCCAUUCUCUCUUCCUAGACAGCAGACCUGGGAGAAACUCCUUCUAGCCGGACGUCACGCGUGAUGUACGAGAAACUACGGACAGGGUACUCCUACUUGCGUGCGAAAGACAAAGGCAGCAAGAAUCGAAGAACAGAACCCCGACCACACUGCUUGUGAGAAAUGAGCAGCUCUUGAUCUAGGACAAAAAACUUUCUUCUGUUUAAUAUCUAAAACGUGUUACGUGUGAUAUUACACCAACUUUUGAUUAAUAAUACGAAACUUUAUACCUUAUAAAGUAUGAUAUUUAAACACGAAAAUUUACAUUCUGAAAUUGGUAUAGUGUUCCUUUAACUGUUCCUUCAACUUUCAUCGUAGCUUUUUUCAAAAUAUUCUUCAGUGCCAUCAACAAACAGAUUUUUUCAUUUGACUGAACUGUGCCAUAUUUGAUAUUGCCUCUGUAUUUUAUAGGGAAAAUUUUUUAAAUCUUGCAAGUUGAUGUAAUUAAGUUUUAAGUUAACGUAUUAUAGAUAUGUUAACACUAGUUUAUGUUUCAGUA